rnacentral:rRNA from 1 species
UCAAAGGAAUUGACGGGGACCCGCACAAGCGGUGGAUGAUGUGGUUUAAUUCGAUGCAACGCGAAAAACCUUACCUACCCUUGACAUGCCUGGAAUCCUGCAGAGAUGUGGGAGUGCUCGAAAGAGAACCAGGACACAGGUGCUGCAUGGCCGUCGUCAGCUCGUGUCGUGAGAUGUUGGGUUAAGUCCCGCAACGAGCGCAACCCUUGUCAUUAGUUGCUACGAAAGGGCACUCUAAUGAGACUGCCGGUGACAAACCGGAGGAAGGUGGGGAUGACGUCAGGUCCUCAUGGCCCUUAUGGGUAGGGCUACACACGUCAUACAAUGGCCGGUACAGAGGGCUGCCAACCCGCGAGGGGGAGCUAAUCCCAGAAAACCGGUCGUAGUCCGGAUCGCAGUCUGCAACUCGACUGCGUGAAGUCGGAAUCGCUAGUAAUCGCGGAUCAGCUUGCCGCGGUGAAUACGUUCCCGGGUCUUGUACACACCGCCCGUCACACCAUGGGAGCGGGUUCUGCCAGAAGUAGUUAGCCUAACCGCAAGGAGGGCGAUUACCACGGCAGGGUUCGUGACUGGGGUGAAGUCGUAACAAGGUAGCCGUAUCGGAAGGUGCGGCUGGAUCACCUCCUU